GCGGUGGUUGAGUAGUAGAAUUCACAUCUUCCAUGUGGGAGGCCUGGGUUCGAGUCCCGGCCAACGCA
rnacentral:tRNA from 1 species